GCUCUCUCUUCCACAUUCCUAGAAGAAGUUCUGGUGACUUAAAAAUUGAGGAUCGAGGAAAAAAAGAAGAAGGCUACAGAUCAAGGAGUUGAUCUCGCAGUUAAGAUCAAAUGAGUUGAUCAAAGUCUCUAAGAUCAAGAUUCUUCUUGAGAAGAAGAAUCUCAUACGAGAAGAAAAGUUUGAGAUUGAUUCCGGUGGAUAUCCAU
rnacentral:lncRNA from 1 species